rnacentral:rRNA from 1 species
AUUGAACGCUGGCGGCAUGCCUUACACAUGCAAGUCGAACGGUAACGGACCUUCGGGUGCCGACGAGUGGCGAACGGGUGAGUAAUGUAUCGGAACGUACCUUUCAGUGGGGGAUAACGUAGCGAAAGUUACGCUAAUACCGCAUAUUCUGUGAGCAGGAAAGCAGGGGAUCGCAAGACCUUGCGCUGAUUGAGCGGCCGAUAUCAGAUUAGCUAGUUGGUGAGGUAAAGGCUCACCAAGGCGACGAUCUGUAGCGGGUCUGAGAGGAUGAUCCGCCACACUGGAACUGAGACACGGUCCAGACUCCUACGGGAGGCAGCAGUGGGGAAUUUUGGACAAUGGGGGCAACCCUGAUCCAGCCAUGCCGCGUGAGUGAAGAAGGCCUUCGGGUUGUAAAGCUCUUUCGGCCGGGAAGAAAUCGUAUCAGUUAAUACCUGGUGCGGAUGACGGUACCGGCAUAAGAAGCACCGGCUAACUACGUGCCAGCAGCCGCCGUAAAAC